rnacentral:rRNA from 1 species
GAGUUUGAUCCUGGCUCAGGAUAAACGCUGGCGGCGCACAUAAGACAUGCAAGUCGAACGAAAGUCGUUAUAAAAAAGAGUGAAGAUUUAUCGGAAUGAAUUUUUAUAACAAUGGCUUUAGUGGCGGACUGGUGAGUAAUACAUAAGCAACCUACCUAUUAGAGGGGAACAACAGUUAGAAAUGACUGCUAAUACCGCAUAUGCCAUAGAGAAGACAUCUUCUCAGUGGGAAAGAAGAAAUUCGCUAAUAGAUGGGCUUAUGGCUGAUUAGCUAGUUGGUGGGGUAAAGGCCUACCAAGGCGACGAUCAGUAGCCGGACUGAGAGGUUCAACGGCCACAUUGGGACUGAGAUACGGCCCAGACUCCUACGGGAGGCAGCAGUCGGGAAUUUUGCGCAAUGGAGGAAACUCUGACGCAGUGACGCCGCGUGCAGGAAGAAGGUUUUCGGAUUGUAAACUGCUUUAGACAGGGAAGAAAAAAGACAGUACCUGUAGAAUAAGCUCCGGCUAACUACGUGCCAGCAGCCGCGGUAAUACGUAGGGAGCAAGCGUUAUCCGGAUUUAUUGGGUGUAAAGGGUGCGUAGACGGGAAAACAAGUUAGCUGUGAAAUCCCUCUGCUUAACAGAGGA